rnacentral:rRNA from 1 species
GACGAACGCUGGCGGCGUGCUUAACACAUGCAAGUCGAACGGAAAGGCCCUGCUUGCAGGGUACUCGAGUGGCGAACGGGUGAGUAACACGUGGGUGAUCUGCCCUGCACUUCGGGAUAAGCUUGGGAAACUGGGUCUAAUACCGGAUAGGAACCAUCUUUAGUGUGGUGGUUGGUAAGUUUUUUCGGUGUAGGAUGAGCUCGCGGCCUAUCAGCUUGUUGGUGGGGUAAUGGCCUACCAAGGCGGCGACGGGUAGCCGGCCUGAGAGGGUGUACGGCCACAUUGGGACUGAGAUACGGCCCAGACUCCUACGGGAGGCAGCAGUGGGGAAUAUUGCACAAUGGGCGCAAGCCUGAUGCAGCGACGCCGCGUGGGGGAUGAAGGCCUUCGGGUUGUAAACUCCUUUCGCUAGGGACGAAGCUUUUUGUGACGGUACCUAGAUAAGAAGCACCGGCUAACUACGUG